GACAGGAUCUCGCGCGGCGUUGAUCCCGUGAACUCCCCCAGGGCAGGAAUGCAGCAAGGGUCAGCGGGCUCUCACGGGUGCGCGAGGUCCCUUAUUU
rnacentral:SRP_RNA from 1 species